rnacentral:rRNA from 1 species
UGCAGUCGAGCGGGGGAAGGUAGCUUGCUACCGGACCUAGCGGCGGACGGGUGAGUAAUGCUUAGGAAUCUGCCUAUUAGUGGGGGACAACAUCUCGAAAGGGAUGCUAAUACCGCAUACGUCCUACGGGAGAAAGCAGGGGAUCUUCGGACCUUGCGCUAAUAGAUGAGCCUAAGUCGGAUUAGCUAGUUGGUGGGGUAAAGGCCUACCAAGGCGACGAUCUGUAGCGGGUCUGAGAGGAUGAUCCGCCACACUGGGACUGAGACACGGCCCAGACUCCUACGGGAGGCAGCAGUGGGGAAUAUUGGACAAUGGGGGGAACCCUGAUCCAGCCAUGCCGCGUGUGUGAAGAAGGCCUUAUGGUUGUAAAGCACUUUAAGCGAGGAGGAGGCUACUUUAGUUAAUACCUAGAGAUAGUGGACGUUACUCGCAGAAUAAGCACCGGCUAACUCUGUGCCAGCAGCCGCGGUAAUACAGAGGGUGCGAGCGUUAAUCGGAUUUACUGAGCGUAAAGCGUGCGUAGGCGGCUUAUUAAGUCGGAUGUGAAAUCCCCGAGCUUAACUUGGGAAUUGCAUUCGAUACUGGUGAGCUAGAGUAUGGGAGAGGAUGGUAGAAUUUCCAGGUGUAGCGGUGAAAUGCGUAGAGAUCUGGAGGAUACCGAUGGCGAAGGCAGCCAUCUCCCUAUACUGACGCUGAG